AUGUCUUGUUUUGACCUAACAAAAACCUUCUGCUCGGAGCUGAAUACAUUGUUGGGCAAGUUUUGGUGGAGUCAACAGGACAAACAAAAUCCGAUGCAUUGGCUAAGUUGGGACAAACUUACACAGCCCAAAGCUAUGUGCGGGUUAGGGUUCCGAGAGAUGCACAGCUUCAAUAUAGCUAUGCUAUCGAGGCAGGGAUGGAGGUUGAUCCAAAACCCUGAGAGCUUGUGUGCUAGAAUCCUAAAAGCCCGGUAUUUCCCGAAUAGCACCGCGCUCGAAGCAGUAGCUCAUGAUGGUAUCUCAUAUGCUUGGCGUAGCAUUUUACAUGGGCUUGAUCUGGUGAAGGAAGGUUAUAUAUGGAGGAUUGGGGAUGGAGCCUCAGUGAAUAUUUGGAGUGAUCCGUGGUUGCCAAGGGCCUAG
rnacentral:rRNA from 1 species